GUUGCUAUCAAGGAGGCAUUGGGAUGGAGUAAUUCCUGAAACCGAAAUCGGGACAAAUGGUCAGCUGCUACGUUCUGAAUACCCGGUACGUGUGUGCAAUACAAAAAGAACUGAUGAGUUGCCGCGAGCCAAGUUAAUCUUCUCAUGAAACUCAUAAUGACUAGAGAGGGGGACCGGCCUUUGUUAAUAAUGUAGCAUGUUGCUUGGUUAUCUGAGUAACAAUGGACCGUGUGUCCUUCCCAGGAGUGUCCCCAAGUUGCUGCUGCAGCCACGAUAGGG